rnacentral:rRNA from 1 species
UACGAAGGGGGGCUAGCGUUGCUCGGAAUGACUGGGCGUAAAGGGCGCGUAGGCGGCUCAUACAGUCAGGCGUGAAAUUCCUGGGCUCAACCUGGGGACUGCGCUUGAGACGUGUGGGCUUGAGUGGGGAAGAGGGUCGUGGGAUUCCCAGUGUAGAGGUGAAAUUCGUAGAUAUUGGGAAGAACACCGGUGGCGAAGGCGGCGACCUGGUCCUUGACUGACGCUGAGGCGCGAAAGCGUGGGGAGCAAACAGG